CGGUAUCGGAGGGAAAGUAGGUCUAGCUUGCUGAUUUUGUUGUUGUUGUUGAACUGGCAACUGUUGUUUCAUCUGUUGAGCGAUUGCAUUAACGGGUACUUGAGGUUGACCCGGUGGCAGAGGGUACUGAUGAUAAAAUGGCGGAAAGAAAGGAUGCUGAGAAUACGGCGCAUAUGGGUAUGACGGAGGCAUUUGGGCUGCAUUGAUAGGAGCAACAGUAGCCAUGGAUUGACCGGCUCCAGCUGACACCAUCCCUACUUCC
rnacentral:lncRNA from 1 species